UACGUAGGGGGCAAGCGUUGUCCGGAAUCAUUGGGCGUAAAGCGCGUGUAGGCGGCCCGGUAAGUCCGCUGUGAAAGUCGGGGGCUCAACCCUCGAAUGCCGGUGGAUACUGUCGGGCUAGAGUGCGGGAGAGGCGAGUGGAAUUCCUGGUGUAGCGGUGAAAUGCGCAGAUAUCAGGAGGAACACCCGUGGCGAAGGCGGCUCUCUGGAACGCAACUGACGCUGAGACGCGAAAGCGUGGGGAGCAAACAGG
rnacentral:rRNA from 1 species